rnacentral:rRNA from 1 species
AUUGAACGCUGGCGGCAUGCCUUACACAUGCAAGUCGAACGGCAGCGGGGGAGAAGCUUGCUUUUCCUGCCGGCGAGUGGCGAACGGGUGAGUAAUACAUCGGAACGUGCCCUGUAGUGGGGGAUAACUAGUCGAAAGAUUAGCUAAUACCGCAUACGACCUGAGGGUGAAAGUGGGGGACUGCAAGGCCUCAUGCUAUAGGAGCGGCCGAUGGCCGAUUAACUAGUUGGUGGGGUAAAGGCCUACCAAGGCGACGAUCAGUAGCUGGUCUGAUACGACGAGCAGCCACGCUGAGGCUGAGAGCCGGCACAGGCUCCUACGGGAGGCAGCAGUGGGGAAUGUUGGACAAUGGGCGAAAGCCUGAUCCAUCAAUGCCGCGUGUGUGAAGAAGGCCUUCGGGUUGUAAAGCACUUUUGUCCGGAAAGAAAUGGCUCUGGUUAAUACCUGGGGUCGAUGACGGUACCGGAAGAAUAAGGACCGGCUAACUACGUGCCAGCCGCCGCCGUAA